GUCUACAGCCAUGCCACCCUAAAUGUGCCCAAUCUUGGAAGCUAAGCAGGGUCGGGCCUGGUUAGUACUUGGAUGGGAGACCACCUAGGAAGACCAGGUGCUGUAGGCG
rnacentral:rRNA from 1 species